GGGAGGAUUGAGAAGGUGUAGCAGCGUCACACUGUGCUGUUAUUACUGGUUAAUAACCUCCUACAUGAAAAUCAGGUCGACGCAGCAAACUGGCUUCAUGACACCUUCAUUACAGCCAAUGUUGCGUCUGUGCACAAAACUA
ensembl:snoRNA